CUAUGCGCCUUGCCAGCCCGCUCAGUCAGAGUUUGAUCCUGGCUCAGGACGAACGCUGGCGGCGUGCUUAACACAUGCAAGUCGAACGGAAAGGCCCUUCGGGGUACUCGAGUGGCGAACGGGUGAGUAACACGUGGGUGAUCUGCCCUGCACUUUGGGAUAAGCCUGGGAAACUGGGUCUAAUACCGAAUAUACCCUUCUGGUCGCAUGGCCUGGUGGGGGAAAGCUUUUGCGGUGUGGGAUGGGCCCGCGGCCUAUCAGCUUGUUGGUGGGGUGAUGCCUACCAAGGCGACGACGGGUAGCCGGCCUGAGAGGGUGACCGGCCACACUGGGACUGAGAUACGGCCCAG
rnacentral:rRNA from 1 species